rnacentral:rRNA from 1 species
CCUACGGGUGGCAGCAGUAGGGAAUUUUGCGCAAUGGGCGAAAGCCUGACGCAGCAACGCCGCGUGAUCGAGACGCCCUUCGGGGUGUAAAGAUCUGUCAGUGGGGACGAAACUUGACGGUACCCACAGAGGAAGCACCGGCUAACUCCGUGCCAGCAGCCGCGGUAAUACGGGGGGUGCAAGCGUUGUCCGGAAGUAUUGGGGGGAAAGAGUUCGUAGGCGGGAUGUAAAGUCUGGUGGUAAAGGAAGAGGCGCAACUUCUGUACGGCAGUGGAUACUUGCGAGCUAGAAGGCGGUAGAGGUAAAGGGAAUGCCUGGUGUAGCGGUGAAAUGCUUAGAUAUCAGGAGGAACAGCGGUGGCGUAAGCGCUUUACUGGGCCGUAAUUGACGCUGAGGAACGAAAGCCAGGGUAGCAAAUGGGAUUAGAUACCCCUGUAGUC